UCCCAUUUUUUCUAGUUUUUCUCUAACGCCCAGCCAUCACAGUGAAGUCACCACUAUGCAGCCAUCACCACAACCACAACAUCACGCCGCCGUCAUCGGUUUCCGGUCACCAACAAGCGGGAAGGGCUUUGGUUAUAAAGGUUCCCAGCUUUCCAUCGUGCAUUAAAGAUUUCAUGAUUCAAGGAGGGGAUUUUGAUAAAGGAAAUCAAGCUGUAGCAGAAUCAAUGGUAGGGAAGAUGUGAGCAGCAUACUAGAAGUUUCAAGAAGAGGGAAAGAUCUGCUUAGAUUGAUAGGGGAUUGUGGAUACAAGGAAG